CCGCGAACGGGUGAGUAACACGUGGGUUACCUGCCUCGAUGACCGGGACAACCCGAGGAAACUCGGGCUAAUACCGGAUGUGCCCGCAAGGGGAAAGGAAGCUUCGGCCUCCGCAUCGAGAUGGGCCCGCGGCCCAUUAGCUUGUUGGUGAGGUAACGGCUCACCAAGGCUUCAAUGGGUAGCUGGUCUGAGAGGACGAUCAGCCACACUGGGACUGAGACACGGCCCAG
rnacentral:rRNA from 1 species